AAAGAUUUGAUAACAGGUGGGAAAAGUGUUGAUAAUUACCCUAGAAUGGUGCCACAAGAUAGGCGUUAAGACGUGUAUCGAUCUUUUGACCAUGUGCUUAAAGUUUCAUUCAAAGCGAUGAACUGUUCAUUUUUCGUACACAAGAGCAUUGUUUUUAAUGAAAGAUUGUCAUCAGUCAACGUAUAUUUUUCGGUGGCGUUUAUAUCGUAAAACAGUAGAGACACAAAACAAAAUGCUUUUGAAGGUAUAAAUCACUCUUAGAACUUAUUCAUAUUUUUCGCAGAAAUGUUUUUUGAUUACAAUGGUGUCAAUAAAUUUCGGAAGAUAAGAUUGCAAUACAGGAAAUCAUUUAAACAGGAACAGAAACGUGAAUUGCCUCAUUUUGAAAAUACACAUUUAAUAAUUUAAUCAAAAAAUCAAUGUGGAUAUUUAUAUAGCAAAGCUAUGUUUGGAAAAGGGAAAGAAAACUUUGUGACUGAAAAAUGAAUUAUGCGCAAAAGAUAAGUUCAGCAUUGCAUUAAAGAAAAACAUCAUGGACAGUAAUCAAAAAAAUGGAACAAAUGUUUAAUUUUGAUUAUGUUUUUAGACUGUUAAAGAAAAAUAAAACAUCUAAUUGUGAUUGUAAGUAGUUUUUUUAUUAUUUCAUGUUUCUCUAAUUAAAUGUGUACUUUCUCACAGCUUACACAUAACAUAUAAUGAAAGCGGGAAUAUUUUUAUCCAAUAUUUCCGUUUCUUGCUUUCAGAUAUUCCCACUUCAUAAAGCAACAGUAUAUUUAAGAUGUGUGUAUAUAUGUAUGUAUCAAUAUCAAUACAAAAAAUAAAAUUUGGGAACGAAGAAUCAAACAUAAGUUUAUAUGCGUGUUUUGUUUUCAAGUCAUAAAGUCGUUUGCCUUUCGUACAGACGGCAGGAUGAAACAAAUUGUAGAAUCAAUUGUUAUUGUUUUUAUUUAUCUUUGAGUUUAAUUUUACGUCUCAACAGCAGAGUUAGGGUCAUUUGGCGACUUUGCUAAAUUAACUGGUUGAGAAUGACCACAUGUAUCCAUCCAUGCGUAUUGGCACCCGACAUCAAGGAAUCUAAUUUGCAUAAAACACGCUUAAUUACAAAUAAAACAAAAAUAACAAAACUUGAAUUUGAUAACAGUUGUUAGUUUUAUUCUGUAAUGGGAAGUAAGAUAUGCUAAUUUGACAUCAAUAUUUGUUUUCGAAGUUUUGUUAUUCUUUUUCUUGAGACAAAAAAGGAACAUUUGAAACAGUAAAGUAAAUGAAUAAUUUUCCUUUCACCACAAACAGUUAGAUAUUUAAAUCAAUAUAACUCAAAAAGUCCAUACAUAGAGAAAAGUGACCUUCAAAUUUUAUACACAAUAUGUAACAACACUAAUGUGAUCAAAACAGCCAAUAAAAUUCUUUUAAUUGUGUCAAUUAGCAACGAGGUUCUUCAUUGGUGGAAAAUAUUAUUAAAUCAAGUAUAAAUACUUGAGCAACUUUAAAAUCGUCUGGCUGUAUUCCAAGAUGGCAACUAUAAACGAGUGGGACCAAAAAUUGAAACAAAUUCAAGUAAAUACUUCAGAAACCCAUAACAAUGUCAACUGUACAUAUAUAAUUGCUACAACUGACGAACUUAACACAGAUGGACUUAGCCGUGGUAUUUGGAUUCAUGUUGCAAAUGUGUAUGUGGAAUGUAUUAUGACAAAACCAAACUUGGCGACACACUUAAGGAAAGGCAUGUACGCCUUCACGAUUUUGGCGAUGGUGUGGAGUUCCACCUGUAUGAAAAAUGUCAAUAUUUAGACCCAAAGCGUCUUCCCUGGAAUAAUUUUAGGAUAGAGAAAUAUUGCAUUUGUCCGAGAGACCUUUACUCUUUACAGAAUUCGUGGUGCUUGAUUCAAUAAGAACUAUGAAUACAAGGUUACAGAGUGAGAAACAGAAAAGAACGAAGGGCAAUUAAGACCGACCAAUAUCAACAUGCAUGAGUGUUUCAGUUUUUGUUAGAAAUACUAGUAUAAAGACUUAUACAUCAGUAUAUAUAUUUAUCAAUUUCAUGAUGGAACAAUGCACACAGAUAUCCUUUUUAUAUUUUCAUAAAUUAUGUGAUAUUUGAUAAGCAAUAAAUAGUAAACAUAUA